rnacentral:rRNA from 1 species
UACGUAGGGUCCGAGCGUUGUCCGGAAUUACUGGGCGUAAAGAGCUCGUAGGUGGUUUGUCGCGUUGUUCGUGAAAACUCACAGCUUAACUGUGGGCGUGCGGGCGAUACGGGCAGACUAGAGUGCUGUAGGGGAGACUGGAAUUCCUGGUGUAGCGGUGAAAUGCGCAGAUAUCAGGAGGAACACCGGUGGCGAAGGCGGCUCUCUGGGACGGUACUGACGCUGAGACGCGAAAGCGUGGGGAGCGAACAGG